rnacentral:rRNA from 1 species
CAGGCCUAACACAUGCAAGUCGAGCGGACCAUUCCCUCGGGGAUGGUUAGCGGCGGACGGGUGAGUAACACGUAGGCAACCUGCCUGUAAGAUCGGGAUAACUACCGGAAACGGUAGCUAAGACCGGAUAGCUGGUUUCUCCGCAUGGGGGAAUCAUGAAACACGGGGCAACCUGUGGCUUACGGAUGGGCCUGCGGCGCAUUAGCUAGUUGGUGGGGUAAUGGCCCACCAAGGCGACGAUGCGUAGCCGACCUGAGAGGGUGAUCGGCCACACUGGGACUGAGACACGGCCCAGACUCCUACGGGAGGCAGCAGUAGGGAAUCUUCCGCAAUGGGCGCAAGCCUGACGGAGCAACGCCGCGUGAGUGAUGAAGGUUUUCGGAUCGUAAAGCUCUGUUGCCAAGGAAGAACGCCUCGGAGAGUAACUGCUCUGAGGGUGACGGUACUUGAGAAGAAAGCCCCGGCUAACUACGUGCCAGCAGCCGCGGUAAUACGUAGGGGGCAAGCGUUGUCCGGAAUUAUUGGGCGUAAAGCGCGCGCAGGCGGUCUUUUAAGUUUGGUGUUUAAGCCCGGGGCUCAACCCCGGUUCGCACUGAAAACUGGGAGACUUGAGUGCAGGAGAGGAAAGCGGAAUUCCACGUGUAGCGGUGAAAUGCGUAGAGAUGUGGAGGAACACCAGUGGCGAAGGCGGCUUUCUGGACUGUAACUGACGCUGAGGCGCGAAAGCGUGGGGAGCAAACAGGAUUAGAU